rnacentral:lncRNA from 1 species
CCCAUGCCAAACAUAAGAUAAACACAAACAAAUAAAUCAGGUGUGAUCAAGAAGUUAGACAAAACGAAUGUAAAGGAAAAAGAUAAGAAAGACGUCAUAGGUGUCCCCAAGCGUUUCGCUUAUUUUCUUGCUAUCCGGUGACUGUAAAUUUGUAUUGACUCCAUGAGAAAGUAUGGAGAGUCUCGCAAUAAGACUCCAUGUCUGGAUAAGGAGAUUCGUUGUCGCUCUUGCAGGGCAGCAAACUGAGGCGUGGGAUCUAAGGUGUACUAUCAAACUCCGAUCUCGGACUUGAACUUGCUACCUCGAACCAACGUUAAUCGUUGGGACAAAGAAAUAAAAAAUGUUUCUAUUUUUGGUUAAAACCAACAGAACUUAGAAAUUAGAAAGAAAGAAAUUUUGAGAGAAAAGGACGGCGGCUAAACAAAGGUUAGAGGGAGCUGAAGCUUCCAACUUUGGGGGGGUGAAAGUGGGCGGCUCUGAACCUCAGGUUAAAGGAGGGGGCUAUAACUUGGUCAAAAAUCUCUUCAAAGGUGGGUAUUUAUUGGCUGAUUUCUAGGGUUCUUGAUUUAGGCGGGAUUUUGAAAUUGAGUGAAAGCUAUCGAACAUUUGAGAUUUGAACGUAGGUAUUGAAGAGAAAUUAAAUAAGGGGAAGGGCUUCUUGCUUUAAUAUAGUAAUGGAAAGUCUGCUAUGGCUAAGCAACAUUGAAGUUUUGUGAAGAAAAGGAAAAGAAGAAAAUAAGCGGUCGUUUGGCAGGGAGAACGAAUUCUAAAUUGUUCUGUUGUUG